rnacentral:rRNA from 1 species
ACGAGCGCNACCCUNGUCANUAGUUGCUACAUUCAGUUGGGCACUCUAAUGAGACUGCCGGUGACAAACCGGAGGAAGGUGGGGAUGACGUCAAGUCCUCAUGGCCCUUAUAGGNGGGGCUACACACGUCAUACAAUGGNUGGUACAAAGGGUUGCCAACCCGCGAGGGGGAGCUAAUCCCAUAAAACCAGUCGUAGUCCGGAUCGCAGUCUGCAACUCGACUGCGUGAAGUCGGAAUCGCUAGUAAUCGUGGAUCAGAAUGUCACGGUGAAUACGUUCCCGGGUCUUGUACACACCGCCCGUCACACCAUGGGAGCGGGUUCUGCCAGAAGUAGUUAGCUUAACCGCAAGGAGGGCGAUACCACGGCAGGGUUC